AACCCACUGAGCUACCCAGGCACCUGCCGUGCAGCGUUGACCCAGUGGAGAACCGAGUGGAAAAGGCCGAGCCAGGAACACUGUCUGCUCCUCAACAAGGCCACGGCAGCCUUCUAUCGAAAGCCUCUCCAUGUGAAAGAGCCGGUGGGCUUUCCUGACUGGACCCCUUAACGUCGUAGGAAGAACAUCUCUUAGUCGGUGAAAGCAAUACAUUCCCUGGUUCAAAGUGCACUGAGAAGGCUUCACAGUUUUAAUACUUCCUAGAUGCUCAACCGAGGCGAAGUGACAAAAUGGCCCCCCCACCCCCGCCCGCCAGAAAAAUAAAACCCCAAGCCCCCCCGACAGCAGCUGCUACGGCCGUAUGAAAAAAUAAUACAAAUUCUUCUUAAAAAAUAGAUUACACAGAAAGAACCCAGAGGACAGAGGGCCACGGUGGGGGAGGGGGAUGGGGGA